GCAGCGUAUAGCUCAGUAACACGUGGCCAAACUACCCUACAGACAAGAACAACCUCGGGAAACUGAGGCUAACACUUGAUACGCGUUGACUGUUUGAAGACAUCGACGUUCAAACGCUCCGGCGCUGUAGGAUGUGGCUGCGGCCGAUUAGGUAGACGGUGGGGUAACGGCCCACCGUGCCGAUAAUCGGUACGGGUUGUGAGAGCAAGAGCCCGGAGACGGAAUCUGAGACAAGAUUCCGGGCCCUACGGGGCGCAGCAGGCGCGAAACCUUUACACUGCACGCCAGUGCGAUAAGGGAACCCCGAGUGAAAGGGCAUAUCGCCCUUUCUUUUCUGAACCGUAGGGAGGUUCAGGAACAAGAGCUGGGCAAGACCGGUGCCAGCCGCCGCGGUAAUACCGGCAGCUCAAGUGAUGACCGAUUUUAUUGGGCCUAAAGCGUCCGUAGCUGGCCGCGCAAGUCUGUCGGGAAAUCCACCCGCUUAACGGGUGGGCGUCCGGCGGAAACUGUGCGGCUUGGGACAGGAAGGCUCGAGGGGUACGUUCGGGGUAGGAGUGAAAUCCCGUAAUCCUGAACGGACCACCGAUGGCGAAAGCACCUCGAGAGGACUGAUCCGACAGUGAGGGACGAAAGCUGGGGUCUCGA
rnacentral:rRNA from 1 species